GAUGAACGCUGGCGGCAUGCCUAAGACAUGCAAGUCGAACGGAGCGAUUUAUAUUGAACAUGAAGUGCUUGCACCGAAUGGGAUUUAUCUUUCGCUUAGUGGCAGACGGGUGAGUAACACGUAGGUAACCUACCUCUUAGUUUGGGAUAGCAGUUGGAAACGAUUGGUAAUACCGAAUUAUAUGUAACUAGAUAACUAGAUACAUUAAAAGGAGCUUCGGCUUCGCUUUGAGAUGGGCUUGCGGUGUAUUAGCUAGUUGGUGAGGUAAUGGCUCACCAAGGCAACGAUGCAUAUCCGAGUUGAGAGACUGAUCGGACACACUGGGACUGAGACACGGCCCAGACUCCUACGGGAGACAGCAGUUAGGAAUAUUCGUCAAUGGGGGGAACCCUGAACGAGCAAUGCCGCGUGAGUGAUGAAGGCCCUUUGGGUCGUAAAACGUCUGUUGUAGAGAAGAAAACCUGCCAUAGGAAAUGAUGGCAG
rnacentral:rRNA from 1 species